AUAUAACUAAGUUAACAAAUAACAAAGAACGAAACGCAUCUCAAAAGUAAUUUGUAUGUAACCAAAUGUAAGGAAGAAUAUUUAAAAUUCUGAUAAACAACCGAAUAUGAAUUGUUGAUCAACACCACUUUAACAGUAUGCGAGUAAUUAAAUGUCAAAUAGCGGUAAAAUGUGAAAUAGAAAAUGUACUUCAUUACUGAUCCGAUCAAAUUGUUUUAUUUUUAAAUGGCUAUUUUGUGAUAAUAUUAUGAAUUCAUUUAAAGUUCAAGUGCCGAUACACGUUAAGGGGCAACGUUCUAAAAAAUACUUACUGUCCACGGACAAGUAGUAAUCAAAAUUUACAGAUAUUGAAUAAUUGGAAAUAUUAUUAACUUUUGUUCUAUAUUUUUAAAUUGUAAUUGAUAUAAAGAUCACGUAUUUACAAAAUAAAAUAAUUAUAAAAAUACCGAACUCUGAGGAAAAUUCAAAACGAAUAGUCCAUAACCGAUUGGCAAAAUCAAAAUCUCAAAAGACAUCAUACGAAAGAUUAACAACUGUCAUAUUCCUGACUUGGUACAGGCCUUUUUUAUGUAGAAAAUGAUGGAUUAACCAUGUUUUUACAGCUAGCUAAACCUCGCACUUGUAUUACAGUUGCAUAAAAUUCCAAAUUCCAUAUUUCUGAGCGUUGUCUUCCGUCAUAACUUAAAUUAGCCAUGAAUAUUCUAUGAUCUUCAAUGAUGAAGAUGACACUGUCAAAUGUUGUUAUCAUACAUAUAUUAACAUAUAUAUAUGUUAGCGGCAAUAAGUGAAAUUAUGCUUUAAGCUUAAAUCCCAGGCAAUAAGCUAACGCCUAGGCAGUAAGUUAAUUGCCUAAAUGAUGUAAUGCAUCAGUCUUAAAUCCUAAGAUUAAAACUUAAAUCCGGAAAAAUGUGUACAGGCAUCAAGCUUAAUGCCUAAAAUAUAAAUGCGAGUAAAUAAAAGACAUGUAUCCAUGUAAAUAAAAAUAUUUUUUUUACAUAAUAACAUUAUGAGAACUGGUUCCUGCUUAUUGAAACUGUCCCAAAUAAAGGCAACAGUAGUAUACCGCUGUUCAAACUCAUAAAUCCAUGGACAAAAAACGCAUAAAUAUAAGAGUAGAACAACGACACAACACUACAAUGUAACUAACACACACAGAAACGGACCAAUAUCGAUCCAAUGAGAUAUUCUUAGGACAGACAUUAUGAUAAAGUUAGGACCGACUUACGUUACGACAUUGAAGCUAUCUUAAGAUUAUCUUAGCUAGGAUGUCCUAACUGACGUCCUAAGUAUUGGCCUGAAAGAAAAUAGCAAAUGAAAAAAUGAAAAUAUUGUAUCAAAUUUAAACAACAACUUUAAUUUAAAACCCGAUUAAUUAUUAGAAAAUAAUAACUUGUUUAAAAUUAAAGGUAAUAAAUAAUUUUGAUAUUUUAGUUACACAUUUAAACUCAAAGCUGAACUCGAAGUGUAACAGUUUCAUACUUUUAGUUCAAAGGCAAAUCUCGUGAAUCUUUCAUAUAAAUACUGAGUACUUCAACUAUUUUAUUUUAUUGCUGCAAAUAACAUACUUGUUAAUAUGAUCAAGAGAAGAAAUUCUUAUUUUACCAAUGCAAAAAAACAGGGGCCAGUUUAAUCCUAAAUAUAAAAAAGAAGAUGUGGUACGAUUGCCAAUGAGACAACUCUCCACAGGAGACCGGAAAUGAAACCACUAAUAGAAUAUGUUAUUUAUAUUAAAACGCAUCAAAUAAUAAUUUGAAAACAUGAAAACUUGAUAGAAAUUUGUGUUAAAAUUAUUUUGUUGGAAAAUUGUGGAACUGUUAACGAAGGAAAUUUUACUUAUUCAAUGAAAAAAAAUGGAAAUUGAUGUGAACAAACAAUCAUAUAUAACUUUUGUCUACUUUUUACCAGUUCAAACAAGCCUGACUAGUUAAGUGUAAAAAACUUCAAAUAAAUAUUAAAAUUAUUCUAUCAAACCUCCCCCUUUUUUUAUUGGAUACAAAAACUUUUAAAAAAUCUUUUUUAAUAUUUUGUAAUACCAUUAAAACAUGAAAAAGUGUGAGUUAAUUCUGUUUUUAACUGCUAAAAUUACUUAAUAAACUCAUCAGUGACGCUCAAAUCCAAAAAAGUUAAAAAGGCCAAAUAAAGUACGAAGUUGACGAGCAUUGAGGACCAAAAUUCCUAAAAGUUUUGCCAAAUACAGCUAAGGAUAUCUAUGCCUGAGGUAGAAAAGCCUUAGUAUUUCAAAAAAUUCCAAAAUUUGUAACGGUAAAUUUAUAAAUAUAACCAUAUCAAUGACAAUUCAUGUCAGCACAAAAAGUGCUGACUACCUUUUUUUUAAUUUUGCAAUGAAUGUUUCAUCCAUAAGAAAAAGCAUAUCAAAUAAAUAGCUUAAAGUUUUGAACAGCGGUAUAAUACUGUUGCCUUUAUUUAAUGUUUUUGUCUUAUUUAGGAAUUUGAUGUUGUGCUUGUCAUGAUUUCAUGGACGGUGUCUCGUUAAAAUAUAAUUGUUAGCUCAUAUUUACGCCUAAAACGCUUAUCAAAGUACAAUCUUAAAGUACAAUGAUCACAAACUAUUUACAUUUCUACUUUAAAUUCUGAUCUUACGUAAUGCCAUAUCUGUCUGGUGUAAAAUGAAAAGGAGAUUUCGCUUUCAAAAUGUGUUGCACUUAGUUAAAUCAGUGUUAAACUAAUAAUAAUAUUUAAGUUUGAGAAGUUCUCAAGUAGGACCAUAUUGUAUUCGGAUUUCAUUUUGGUUAGAGAUCUCAUUUACUUGUAAAUCUGUCUGGUGUUAAACAAUUAUUCAAUGACCUGAGGUUAAGUAAAUCUCUUUGUAGUAUUUAAUAAAAUAUAUACGUUUUACGUGUAGAAGUAAUUGAAAAGUUAAUGUAGG
rnacentral:lncRNA from 1 species